UUUUUUUUUUCUUUUUCAUCUUUUGGGUUUCCAGUCAAUCCAUGACCAAAGGUUUGACUAUUAAUCUAUGAUACAGAGGAAAUGUCCAAUUCACAAAAGCAGUGCAUUCCAAACUCUUGGGAGUUGAUUGUUUUGGGAACUGAGGAUAUUUUUCCUCCUCCUUAUAAUAAACAAUAUUACAAACGAUGGUGAGAUUUCCAGACCAGCCCCACAAAAGCUCCCUUGACUCAUAACAUUGUCGAGGCCCUGGACUUUUGCAGUGAAAACUGGUAGAAAGUAGUUUUGUUGUAAUACCAGUAAACAAACUCAAAUGUGGACACCAUCGUUUCCUUUCUCCUGAAUUCUAUUUAAUGAAACAACCCAUUUAAUGAAAGAAAGAUAAGGAGAAAGAUAAGAGACUUUUUAGGAAGUGACUCCAAUUUAUAAGAAUUUUGGGGGCUGAUAGCAGCCGUCUAUGGUUAUUUUGUCUGUUCAGUUUGGAUACCUUUUUCCUUUUCCUUCAUAAAUGCAAGACACAAAGGAGCCAAGACAGGGCAGAUUUGGGGCUUACUUAGGAAGACAGCAAAGGAUGGAGGAGGAGAAGCAAAAAGUUUGAAAGAGAGUUCCUUGCUGGGGCGAUUCGAGCACAUCAUUGGGGGGCGGGGUAGGUUGCCUAAAUCAGCCUUUACUGAUUUGCUAAGGAAACUGAGGAGAAGAUGUUAGAUCCAAGUGCCCCUGACCCUUGAGUCCCAAGAGAGGGACUAGGAGAGGCCACUAUUUAGUCAGACAGUUCCCUCUCUGGCCAUAAGGUGGCGCCAACAGCCCAGACAGUCGGUCCCGUGGGGGCGUGGCUUGCAGGGGGAGGAGCUCUCCACGUGGAAGCCACGUUUUCCACUCUGGCUCUGGAACUCACGGAAAGCCUGGACUAGACAGCAAGAAUCAACCUACAGGACACUGCCUUAUCAUCUAACACUUCCCAUCCUCUGAGGCCCCACCCUGCUAACACCAGAGCAAGAACACCUUAGUAGGCAGGCAAUCCACCAAUUACUUCCCAUUCAUCUCAUCCAUUGCCUCCUCCCUAGUGUCAGCUGGAGGCCUCUGACCUCUUCCUAACUCCAAAAGGAAUCUAGUCUAAGGGUUUUCUGGAGUUUCAUCCUUAAAUAUCAUCACGCUGAGAAAACAGGAUCUUCUCUGGGAAGCACAGAUUUGUCACAAACGCCCCCCCACCAGGCCCCAGAGGCCCUUGCCAGCUUUUUCUUCCACUUGCAUACCAAACUGGGCAACCCCUACUCCGGAUACAAAACCCAACACAUCCCGACUCCAUUCAUUCACCCCUGCCUGUCCUCUCUCCUGGGAUACCCCCAGUUACUUUCCUCUGCUUAUAAGUACCCUUUCCCCUUUCAAAAUCUAACCCCAAUUCCCUCCUCCCCUAAACCUACUCAUUGGAUCUAACUGGUGAACUGGAGUCAGAGAGGAGGACUUGGGUUCCAUGCAUCGACCACAGAAGCCCCGUUUUCUUUUUCUUUUUUGUCUUUUCUAGGGUCGCACCUAUGGCAUAUGGAGGUUCCCAGGCUAGGGGUUGAAUCGGAGCUACAGCUGUCGGCCACAGCAAUGCCAAAUCCUUAACCCGCUGAGCGAGGCCAGGGAUCCAACCUGCAACCUCAUGGUUCCUAGUUGGGUUGUUAACCACUGAGCCACAAUGGGAACUCCCAAGAAGGACGUUUUCGUAAACUGAGAAGGAAGACCCCUCCAGCCAAGACUCCCUGCUCAGCCUCAUGGCUACCAGCUGGACUGUCCUUGCUUCUCUCAAGUCUCAGUUCCCAACUAGAGAGACACCAACGUCUGCUGGCACAAGGCAUAGCACUGUUUGUUCUCGCUUGGUGUUUACCUUACAAUAUAAUCACCGUUACGAUAAUCACAACCACCCAUUUCCCACACUCUACUCUCACCAACCACAGUCUGUCACACCGGGCUGAGUUCUAGAGGUAGAAGAACGCGGGGAGAUCACAACACAGUCACCAGCCUGAGCCCUUCUCCCCACUGUCACCCCAGGCCUAUGGCCUAGACUGGUAAUCCCAGCCAACUACCUCUUGACUGCAGAAUUUUCUCAGCCCUGACAGGACUGACUGGGAUGGGCAUUCUUCUCUGGAUGCUUAGCCUUGGCUGGUGGCCUGGACAAGAAAUUUUUCAGACCUAGUUAGUACCUGUGCUUGCAAGACCUCAAAUCUGGCCACUCCUUUUCUCUCAGUUCUAAAGAGGCAGGUAGCUCAGGUGGAAGACAGCCUGCAAUGUCCCCUAUGAGACUGGAACAAAGAGCCCAAGACGAAUUUUUUCACUUAUGCAGGUCCUCUAAGGGCAGCCUCAGGGCCUCAUGGUGGUAAAAGGCCAUGCCCCAGUUCUGGGAGGCAGGAGCCAGAAACCUCCACUGGCCUGGCCCCUACUCCAGGUAGCCUCAGAGCCUUCUCUCAGAAGACUCAGGAGUUCCCAUCGUGGCUCAGUGGAAACAAAUCUGACUAGCAUCCAUGAAGAUGGAGGGUCGAUCCCUGGCCUGGCUCAGUGGGUUAAGGAUCCUGCGUGGCUGUGGCAUGGGCCAGCGCCUACAGCUCCAAUUUGACCCCUAGCCUGGGAACCUCCAUAUGC
rnacentral:lncRNA from 1 species